UACGGAGGGUGCAAGCGUUAUCCGGAUUUACUGGGUUUAAAGGGUGCGUAGGUGGGCCUGUAAGUCAGUGGUGAAAUCUUCAAGCUUAACUUGGAAACUGCCAUUGAUACUAUAAGUCUUGAAUUAUCUGGAGGUAAGCGGAAUAUGUCAUGUAGCGGUGAAAUGCUUAGAGAUGACAUAGAACACCCAUUGCGAAGGCAGCUUACUACGGAUUGAUUGACACUGAGGCACGAAAGCGUGGGGAUCAAACAGG
rnacentral:rRNA from 1 species